CUGGAUCCUUAGGAAGGAGGGCACACAACCCCUCUACAGCUCUAAAAAGACGAAGAAAGAUCUUCUCAUUUCCAGGGUAACUGGAGACCACUUUUGCCUGCAUCUUAUUCUGCCUUUCUCCAAGUGAAAUAAACUAUACAGUUUUGCCUGUAUAACUGCUUCU
rnacentral:lncRNA from 1 species